rnacentral:rRNA from 1 species
AUGAACGCUGGCGGCGUGCCUUACACAUGCAAGUCGAGCGAGGCGGGUAGCAAUACCCAGUCGAGCGGCGAACGGGUGAGUAACACGUGGAUGACCUGCCCUUCAGUGGGGAAUAACCCGGGGAAACUCGGGCUAAUACCGCAUACGACCGAGAGGUGAAAGGGGGCUCGCAAGAGCUCUCACUGAAGGAGGGGUCCGCGUCCGAUUAGCUAGUUGGUAGGGUAAUGGCCUACCAAGGCGACGAUCGGUAGCCGGCCUGAGAGGGUGAUCGGCCACACUGGAACUGAGACACGGUCCAGACUCCUACGGGAGGCAGCAGUGGGGAAUUUUGCGCAAUGGGCGAAAGCCUGACGCAGCAACGCCGCGUGGAGGAUGAAGGUCCUUGGAUUGUAAACUCCUGUCAGCGGGGAAAAAGCGACUGGACCUAAUACGUUCAGGAGUUGAUUGUACCCGCAGAGGAAGCCCCGGCUAACUCUGU